UCCCUUUGGACCUACGCACUACGCAGUGUAAUAUCUCAGAGCAGGAGGAACUUUUUCACUCAUAUAAGAUACAAAUCAACGCAGAAGCAGGAAAGAACCAAGAGAAAUAAAAAUGUUGCAAUUGCUGGGAACGGUUGUUGGCCUCCUCUUCAUCAUAAUGUGCUUUUCCAAAGGACUCAAAGAGGGAAUUAAACCUCAAAGAAUACAACUAUCUGAAUCCCUUCCCAACAACAAGAAACAGAAGGAUCUGAGCGAAGAAGACUUGCAAUUAUUGGCAAGGAUCCUUUCAGUUGGAUUGGUCGAUGCAGAUCCAAACUAUCUCCACCAUCUUAAAUGCUACAGAGACUUGCGUGGUCCCUGAUCUUCUUUAAAAUAAAAAAACAAGACCAAAUACCGCAAUAUAUUGACAGCAUACUGCUAUUCCUGGAUUUAUCCUUGGAGUUUUUACAGUGGCGUAUCCACCAUAGCGCCAGGGUGGGCCCAGGUCCACCCAGUUUACUCAUUGGCCCACCCUGAGAAAGCUUCGGUGUCAUUUUUAAUUUUUUUAUUAUUAUUAUAAAAAAAUGUAUUCACCCAUUGAGAAUAUCCAAGCAUUCAAAGUGAAAUUCAAGUGAACAAAUAUCGAGUUGAAUUAAUGUUGUAUGUGUUUUAUCCUCUGAACCGAACUCAUUUAUGUUAAAAACUGGUUGUUGGUUCCGGCGCGCGCCAUAGUAACGUGAGAGAGGCAGAGAGCUGCCUGCAAAUGAUAGCUCAAAGUUCACUAAUGAACUUUGGUUUUUAAAAAAAAAGCCAGACUCCAGGGCCAGGCUCUCCGACUAGUCCGGAGACUGUUACGGCCGCUUGCUCCACGGCGCUAGCAGUGCUCCCUCCCGCUCCCGGUCGUCAGCAUGAAGCAGGUGUGGGCCUACCCGCUGGUCUGUCUGCAAUUGAUGAACCGCCUUCACAGCCACAAUUCAAGAAGUUCCCUUACACUCUAAAUCAUGGGAAAGCAAGGUGCUUCUCAUCAAGGUGGUAUGGAGAUUUUCCCUGGGUGGAAUACAGCGCAAGUAGGGACGCGCUUUUCUGCAAAAUGUGCAGACAUUUCCCCAGCCCAGGAGCUGAAGGUGCAUUUACGAGGGAUGGAUAUUUAGACUGGAAGCACAGCGUAACUCGUUGGAGAGACAUAAAAAAAGCGAGGACCACUGCAAGUCCAUGAGCAGGUUUGAAUGCCACAACCUAUUGUUGCUGUUAGUGCAAUACAAGAGUAAAUAACCCAAUUUGUGUUCUGUGAAACUGAAAAGGAUAUUACAUUGUUUUUGUUACUUUCGUUGCAGUUGUAAA